rnacentral:rRNA from 1 species
AUACGGAGGGUGCAAGCGUUACUCGGAAUCACUGGGCGUAAAGCGCGCGCAGGCGGGCUGAUAAGUUGGAUGUGAAAGCCUACGGCUCAACCGUAGAACUGCAUCCAAAACUGUCAGUCUAGAGUGUGGGAGAGGAAGAUGGAAUUAGUUGUGUAGGGGUAAAAUCCGUAGAGAUAACUAGGAAUACCAAAAGCGAAGGCAAUCUUCUGGAACACUUCUGACGCUGAGGCGCGAAGGCGUGGGGAGCAAACAGGAUUAGAUACCCGGGUAGUCC